AACGAACGCUGGCGGCAUGCCUAACACAUGCAAGUCGAACGAGACCUUCGGGUCUAGUGGCGCACGGGUGCGUAACGCGUGGGAACCUGCCCUUAGGUUCGGAAUAACUCCCCGAAAGGGGUGCUAAUACCGGAUAAUGUCUUCGGACCAAAGAUUUAUCGCCUUUGGAUGGGCCCGCGUUGGAUUAGCUAGUUGGUAGGGUAAAAGCCUACCAAGGCGACGAUCCAUAGCUGGUCUGAGAGGAUGAUCAGCCACACUGGGACUGAGACACGGCCCAGACUCCUACGGGAGGCAGCUGUGGGGAAUAUUGGACAAUGGGCGAAAGCCUGAUCCAGCAAUGCCGCGUGAGUGAUGAAGGCCUUAGGGUUGUAAAGCUCUUUUACCCGGGAUGAUAAUGACAGUACCGGGAGAAUAAGCUCCGGCUAACUCCGU
rnacentral:rRNA from 1 species